AGAGAAAGAGGAAAGAAAAAAGAAAGAAAGAGAGAAAGAAAAGAAAGAAAGAAAAGAAAAAAGAAAAAGAGAAAGGAAGAAAAAAGAAAGAAGAAGAAAGAGAGAGAAAGAAAGAGGAAAGAAAGGAAGGAAGGAGAAGAAAGAGAAAGAAAGAAGGAAGGAAAGAAAGAAAGAAAAAGAAAGAAGAAAGGAAGGAAAGAAGAAAGAAAAAGAAAGAAAGAAAGAAAAAGAAUCAUCAGGGGUGAUUAAAGUUCAGAUUCUUGGGCAAUGUCUUAAACUUACUGAUUCACAAUUUUCAAAUUUCUGGCAGUGGCCCUUUAAAAAUAGCACCCUACAUAUUUCUUAGGCAUUCUAAAGUUUACUCAGAAUAUUGCUGAGUAGUUAUUUUUUAAAAUAAUGUGUUAAUAGAUAUGCUCAGAGAAUUACAAGCAUUGAGAAAGGACUUGUAACACAACCUGAAGGGGUGAGAAGGCCUCCUUUAAGAAGAAACCUCUAAGGGUGACCUUCACAGAAGGCUACCUAAUGGCACAUGUGCUGUUUGGAAUGACAAACAUUAUAGGGGUCUUCUAGGUACCAGCUAAUGCAUAAAACAAGGAAGAGAGAUUAGAAAGAGACUGGUACAUGUAGAGAAAUGCAAGGAAUUUCUUUAGGUAGAUAAUAAAAAAUCUUAAAAAGGAGUAUAAAGAAGGUGAUUAGGUAUAAAGUUAUCAAGAUCCUUGAAUGUUACAUUAAGGAAAUUGGAUAGUAUCUGGUGUUUCAUAUCCAAAUGCAAAUAACAUUAAUUAUUAAAAACAAGUCCAGAGAGGGAGACAAUGCAGUAUUUUUAACACUGAUGCUACUCUGUUCCAGCCAGUCGUUGCCAUGGGGAAGUGUGGCAUAGAAUUGCCAGAUUGUCCAGUCUUUCAAAAAUACCCCAAAAUCUGGUGUAUUCAUUAGAAUUAGGUUCAGCUGCAAAUAAUAGUAUAUUCUGAAAUAAUAGUGUUUAAGCAAGAAUGAAAUUGUUUAUUGCUCACAAAUUAGUCUGGAAGAAUGCAGUCCUGGGCUGGAAUGUCAGCUCUGUUCCACCAAAACUACAGGAAGCCAGAUUCUGUCUAGCUCACUCUUUCAGCAUCCCUGAGCUGUAACACAUCAUCCUGGCUGAAGGUGUCUAGGCAGUAGAGGAACUGGUCAAUACAAUGGGGAAUACAGUGUUGUCAUUCAGAUAAGGUUACUGGACACUGCCAUAGGAUUAUAUGCCAAGAUGCAAGGAAGGCUAUAAGAUGGAUUUUGCAUUCCAGGUGGCCAUUGCUCAUCAAAAAUUUUAUUAUUAUGGAUACAAUGCAGAGUAGAUAUUGGGGGACCAGAAGCAUUCUGUAUUAUCAUAUAUCAGUUCCUUCUGCAUAUCAUUUAUAUAUGCAGGAUUAAGUAUUUAUCUAUUUAUACAUCUAUAUCAUCCAUCAUUACUGUGCAUGAUUAAUAUUAUUAUUAUUUGAAAACAAAAAUAUCUAAGUUGUGCAUAGCCUCUAAGCCACCAAUUUGUUUAUGGGACUCUUUGAUAUUGGAAGUUAUUCGAUACUGUUUAGGAAGAGAGUAAGCCAUUAAAUUUAUAGAGAAGGGAUGUCUUUGUAAACUAUUUAGGUUGUCAAAGUGCCUGAAUUUGAUAAGUAAAUUCUAGAGUAAGGGAGAGAGAGAAUUAAAAACUUACUCCCAGAUUUCAAGUUUGAUUUAUUUGAUGAAUUGAGAUGCCAACAAUUUGGACAAAAAAUACCAAAUGGAUCACUGGUUUGUGGGUGAAGAUGAGUCCAUUUUUAUGCAUGCUAAGUGAUAAAUCUUCUUGGAAUACUAUCGACAUUUUGAUAUCAAGACUGAAGGCAGGGGAGAGGCUUGAAUUAAAAAUAUAGAUUUAGGAAUUACAGAAUAUUUUGAAUAAAAUUAUUGUUAUAGAAGAAAUCAUCCAGAUGACACAGAAGCAAUUGUAGAUUGAAAAAAGCAGUGACAAUAAGACAGAACACUGGCAAAGAUGGUUAUUCAGGAGUUAAUAAAAAAGGUAUAAUACUCAUCAUUAAAAUAAAUAGAUGAGAGUAGAAGAAAGUUUGAGUAUUAGUGCAGCAUAUGUGCUGUAAGAUAAAGGUCCACUGUGUUUGUUAAUUAACAGUAUACCAACUCAGUGAAAGGAGUUUUCUAGUGAAAGAAGCCAGAUGCCUGUAUGUCGAUGAGUGAAUGGAAGGUGUGGAAAUGGAUAUAUGUGAUUACUUUAAAUAUAAUUUUGUGAAAAUUGGAUAAGAAGAUAUUAAACAUAGCUGGAGAGUAAAGCAAUUUCAAAGAAAAAUUAUUCAUUGUUUUGGAUAAAUAAGAGCAUAUCAUUGAAUUAGAAAAAGAGACACUGGAGGAAGACUUUGAAGAUACUUAAGUUGGAUGUAAUGACUAACUGACCAAGGGCUGAGGAAGAGGGAAUUAAAGCUAUAGGGGAAUGGAUUGCUUUUUAAAGGAAGAGAUGUUAUGGGUGUUGUGAAUGUGUGUAAGUUUUAGUUUUGGGGACAGGAAUUUAGGAAAGAUUAUUCUUCACUAAUACAAUCUUCAUAACUAACUCGUUUUCUGUGAAUAGAAGUGGAAAAUGCAAAUGGAAAGAAUUCACAGAGAGAUCUGAGGCUCCAGCUUAAAGAGGAGACAAUAAUUUUGCAAUGAUGCCAAACAGCAGAGGGAUGUGUAUGUGUCUAAGUAUGUGUGUGUUUUAAGCUGUGCUUCAGUAAUUGAAUGAAAAGACACAUGAUAAUGACCCAGAUAUGAGUUUGCUAAAUCUGCAUGGUAGAAGCAUAUAGUAAUAUGAGUGCUUUAAAUGAUCUUAUGAGAUAAUUAUUCAGUGAAUAAAUAGCUGAGUCCAAACUAGAGAAGAAAGGGAGAAAGGAUAUUUCAAAUAGACAGGAAAAAGUUAAAACAAUUGGGACAAGAGUGGUCUCUAAGAAUUUGAAGAAUAGAUUUGCCAGAAAUGAGCUUUUGAAAAACCUGAUAGAAAAGGAGGUUGUAGUUAAAGUGAGGGAUACUGUGAUUUAGAUUACUGACCUGGAGUAUUCCCUGGUAAUAAAUGUGGCUGGUUGAACUGAAAUAAAGGUGAAAGACUUAGGUGCC
rnacentral:lncRNA from 10 species